CAAAAAAAAAAAAAAAAAAACACCAUAAGCCUUUUUUUUUUCUUUGUAGAAUCAAACCCUCUUGAAAAGAAAGAAAAAACCAAAAUACCCCCAAAAGAUGCAAUUUCUCCAGCAUCUUCCAUUUCAUACAAAAUAGUUCCUAUCCUACCCUCUCCCAAAACCAAUCUUGACACCUUUGAAAAUUCCCCUCAAUUGGGAAGGCAGGAUUGAGGCACCUGUGACUUAUUGCACUAUUUGCAAAAUGCAGAGUUUCACCAAAUAUCCACCCUUCCUUUCACAUUCAACUCAUCAGCUUUCUUCAAAAGAAGAGGAAGGGAAAAAAGAGGGAAAAAAGAAAAAAGGAAAUUAACCAUCUGCCAUCAAAAAUUGGAAUUUCUUGGAUCUAGUAUUCAGGGGAACAGCAUCAAAUUUCUGAUCCAGAGUCAGUAGAGCUGAGCUCAGAUGAAGCUCCACCCAUAACAGUUGCAUGAGAUUCAAACAGCUUUUGCUGCAUACCUGGGCAGAGUUUAAAGGACGGCUGCAAUUUCAUGCACUGCUGAUAGAAAGCAUUGAUCUCCUCUUCCGUGAGGCCCUCAUCCUCCCCAGAAUUUUCUUCCCAACCAAGUGAACGAAGGAAUGCAGCUUCUUCCUCAGAAAAUCUCUGAAUCUCUUCACAUGUGCCACCAUUGCUAGUCAACUCAGCACCAUUCUUAAUACCCUGAAGACUUGCAGGAGCACUGACUACUUCCUUGCUCACGUUACGGGAUUUCUCACUGGUGGGAGAUGAAAGAGCAGAGGGUGAAUCAGGGAGAGCUGCAGAAGUGUUCGUUGAGGUUUUCUUUUUCAGGAGGUUAAAAAAAUCAUUUCGGCUCUGGGUUUGAGACAUAGAAGGUCUCUUUUCCACAUUGAACCCUGAAAUCAAAUUCAAGUUAGCAGACUUGCGUUCCCCAGAAGAAAGCUUCAUAUUGUUUGGGCUCCUCAAAGGUGCAGAUGGAACUGAAGGAACAGCAAGUUGGCUAUUUGAUCCUCUGCUGACAUUAUUUUUAGGACUAGCAACAUCCUUUGGAGAGGGGGAUGCACCAUUUUCCCAUCCCGGCUUGAGAACAAAGAGCUUCCCAUGAGAUGUCUUUAGUGCAUCAGCUUUGACAUGUCCCCCAAGAACAGCUUGAUUGGCAGGGUGCAAUGAAGAGGGCUGUUGUUGCAGACUCUUGGCGGUCAUGUUCAUCUCACCAGCUCUAACUGCAGUUUUGGGUUUUGAUUUAUCGGAUGAAUUGAGAACCGAACUCUUAGGCAUUGAAGGUGUUACUGGUAUUAAUUGCCUCGAUUGCUUAAUAGCCAAUUCCUCAAGCCUUUGAGUUUGGACAGACAACUGCUCAGUUACCUGUGGAGCAGCACGAGUUCUUGAUGGAGCCUGAGUCAGUGCUUCAGCCAUAUUGAGACCAGCCAUUGUACUUGGAGUCCCAGGUGCUGAACUAGCAACAGUUUGUACAGCAGAUAAGGAACCACUGCCACUAUUUCCUAUUAUAGCGGGCACCUCAGCCAGAGCUGAUGUCCAUCCUUCCCCACCAAUCAAAGCAGCACUACCAACAGGCAAGCUUUGGACAGCUGCGCUCAAGCCAGGAGAUGAAACCCUUCCUAUAUCAGGCACUCCUUGUCUCUCUUCACUCCCAAGUGAGGGAAAAUCCUUUUCAAACACUGUCUUCUGAAUGCUGCUACCGACACUGAUCCCAGAAAUCAAACCAUUGCCAUUCACAUGAUUGCUGUUACUCCCAUUUUUUAAGUCCACUGUAAAUCUUCGAGGUAAGACAUCACUCUGUUUCCUUGCCACCGUCGAAUGGGAACGUCGCAAAGUGUCCUUCUCACUUCUACUUGGCAAUAUGCUUCCCAAAGGAUCAGGAACAUCACAGUCCCAAUGGUCCCCAAAAUUCAACCUCUCUUUGUCUCUUUCUCGAUCCUUGUCACGGUGACUUCUACUAAAACUACUGUAUGCAUGCUUUGCAGACCCAUUACUGGAACUCCUCCGGGAAUUAGAAGAAGAUGUUCGGUCAAGAAACGCCGAACGCGGGGAAUCAAAAUCACUUAUGCUCUUAGAAUUCCUGUUUCUAGCAUGAUGUGCCGAGGAAGAAACAUCUGAGUGAGAAGACGAUGAUGCAAAGUGCUGGGCUGAACUGCCACCCCCUGAAACACUUCCAGAACUUCUCAACCAUUCUGGAACUAACGUGGGUUCACUUCUUUCCAUAAGGAGCAGUACUGAACAUCAUCAGAUUAAAAAAGAAAAAGUAAUACUUCUCACCUUUUUCACCCCCUCCCCUCUUCUCCUAACAGAAUUAUAGUCUUUCUAUACAAAAAAACCCACCACCUUCUAUCCCUAAUCCUGUCUUCUUUCCACUAAAACUAAAACAUCCAACCUUACUCCACUCGCAACCAAUUGUUCAACUCAGAAAUUGAAAAAGAAACAAUACUAAACAGAAAUUAAAUUGUUAUGUGUUUGGCAGAUUGGUUGUUCUCUAUAUGGCAAAAUCAGGCUUAAAUAGAAUAAGAUUUGAAAGAAGCAGAUUGUGAAGUUAGUACAAGACCAGAGAGCCCAAGAACAACAGCAAUGGCAUGAACAAGAUGCGAGACUUUACAUAAAACGCAAUGGAAUAUAAUCAAAAGCCCCUCUGUCUCCACGUCUCUCCAUCUCUCUCCACCUCCAUUUCAAUUGAAGAUGGAUUUGCAGAAAACAAACAGACACGCUCAAUAGGCCCUCAUCCGUAACGAAAACCUUCCAAAACGCCGAAAUACUAAGGUUCAAAAAAAAUUUAUAGCGAGAACGAAACAACACCCACGACUCUGUAACACGAGUUCAGACCCAUCAAACAGUAUAAUUUCAGGACCUCAGAGACCAAAUAUAAUCAGAGUGAGAACCCCCAUUCAAAGGAAUAAUGUGCACAAAUAGAAACCCUAGUCACACACACAUACCUGUAUCUGUGUUACUGCAACGUUUUAGGGUUAGAACAGAAACAAACAAUAAUUUAAUUUUAAUUUUUUUGAAAAAUGGAAAGGAAAACUAUAGAUGGAGAGGAGGAGAAAACAGCCAAAGCGAGGGAGAAAUAACCCUAGCGCGCUAUGAUUAAAGGAAGCUAUAGCCCAAAACGUAACCGUUUCAAUAACCGCUCUCGAAGUGUUAAUAUUGCCAAAUUCCCAACAAUGCGUUUCAAAGCAGAGACACAGAGAUAGAGAGAGCGAGAGAGAGAGGGAGAGUUUCAGUGUCGCAGAAUGAGAGACGUAAAGAGAAGGGAUAGAUUGUAAUGCGUUGAGGGUUUGAGAUUUUCUGGAGAAAGAAUUUGGGCGAGAGAGGGGGAGAUUAGGGUUUUGUUUAUCACGAAUGAUAGAGAGGCGUAAUUUCUGUUAGUUUUGGAUACUAUGAGAACGAAAACGUAUGAAAAACAGACUCCUUCUUUCUUCUCAGAAAAAUUAAUUAAUUCUAAUAAUUUUCUAAUAAAAUCUUUAAAAUUUUCUAUAUAAAAAAUCAUAUCAUCUACAAACAAUAAAAAUAUUACUUCUUCUUUU
rnacentral:misc_RNA from 1 species